UACGUAGGUGGCAAGCGUUAUCCGGAAUUAUUGGGCGUAAAGCGCGCGUAGGCGGUUUUUUAAGUCUGAUGUGAAAGCCCACGGCUCAACCGUGGAGGGUCAUUGGAAACUGGAAAACUUGAGUGCAGAAGAGGAAAGUGGAAUUCCAUGUGUAGCGGUGAAAAUGCGCAGAGAUAUGGAGGAACACCAGUGGCGAAGGCGACUUUCUGGUCUGUAACUGACGCUGAUGUGCGAAAGCGUGGGGAUCAAACAGG
rnacentral:rRNA from 1 species